AGCGGCGUACGGGUGCGGAACACGUGUGCAACCUGCCUUUAUCUGGGGGAUAGCCUUUCGAAAGGAAGAUUAAUACCCCAUAAUAUUUUGAAUGGCAUCAUUUAAAAUUGAAAACUCCGGUGGAUAGAGAUGGGCACGCGCAAGAUUAGAUAGUUGGUGAGGUAACGGCUCACCAAGUCUGCGAUCUUUAGGGGGCCUGAGAGGGUGAUCCCCCACACUGGUACUGAGACACGGACCAGACUCCUACGGGAGGCAGCAGUGAGGAAUAUUGGACAAUGGGUGAGAGCCUGAUCCAGCCAUCCCGCGUGAAGGACGACGGCCCUAUGGGUUGUAAACUUCUUUUGUAUAGGGAUAAACCUUUCCACGUGUGGGAAGCUGAAGGUACUAUACGAAUAAGCACCGGCUAACUCCGUGCCAGCAGCCGCGGUAAUACGGAGGGUGCAAGCGUUAUCCGGAUUUAUUGGGUUUAAAGGGUCCGUAGGCGGAUCUGUAAGUCAGUGGUGAAAUCUCACAGCUUAACUGUGAAACUGCCAUUGAUACUGCAGGUCUUGAGUGUUAUUGAAGUAGCUGGAAUAAGUAGU
rnacentral:rRNA from 1 species